UACGUAGGUGACAAGCGUUGUCCGGAUUUACUGGGCGUAAAGUGCGCGCAGGCGGCAGAGCAAGUCGAGUGUGAAAGCCCCGGGCUUAACUUGGGAAUUGCGCUCGAAACUACUUUGCUGGAGUGUGGCAGAGGAAGGUGGAAUUCCACGUGUAGCGGUGAAAUGCGUAGAGAUGUGGAGGAACACCAAUGGCGAAGGCAGCCUUCUGGGCCAACACUGACGCUCAUGCACGAAAGCGUGGGGAGCAAACAGG
rnacentral:rRNA from 1 species